AGUCGUAACAAGGUUUCCGUAGGUGAACCUGCGGAAGGAUCAUUACUGAGUGCGGGCCCUCUGGGUCCAACCUCCCACCCGUGUUUAUUCGUACCUUGUUGCUUCGGCGGGCCCGCCGCAAGGCCGCCGGGGGGUCUCGCACCCCCGGGCCCGUGCCCGCCGGAGACACCAUUGAACACUGUCUGAAGGUUGCAGUCUGAGUCGAUUGAAUAAAUCGUUAAAACUUUCAACAACGGAUCUCUUGGUUCCGGCAUCGAUGAAGAACGCAGCGAAAUGCGAUAAGUAAUGUGAAUUGCAGAAUUCAGUGAAUCAUCGAGUCUUUGAACGCACAUUGCGCCCCCUGGUAUUCCGGGGGGCAUGCCUGUCCGAGCGUCAUUGCUGCCCUCAAGCCCGGCUUGUGUGUUGGGUCGUCGUCCCCCCACCGGGGGACGGGCCCGAAAGGCAGCGGCGGCACCGAGUCUGGUCCUCGAGCGUAUGGGGCUUUGUCACCCGCUCUGUAGGCCUGGCCGGCGCCUGCCGACCUC
rnacentral:misc_RNA from 1 species